AUGCGUUGUUGGGUAGGGGAGCGUUCUGUAAGCCUGUGAAGGUGUGCUGUGAGGCAUGCUGGAGGUAUCAGAAGUGCGAAUGCUGACAUAAGUAACGAUAAAGCGGGUGAAAAGCCCGCUCGCCGGAAGACCAAGGGUUCCUGUCCAACGUUAAUCGGGGCAGGGUGAGUCGACCCCUAAGGCGAGGCCGAAAGGCGUAGUCGAUGGGAAACAGGUUAAUAUUCCUGUACUUGGUGUUACUGCGAAGGGGGGACGGAGAAGGCUAUGUUGGCCGGGCGACGGUUGUCCCGGUUUAAGCGUGUAGGCUGGUUUUCCAGGCAAAUCCGGAAAACUAAGGCUGAGGCGUGAUGACGAGGCACUACGGUGCUGAAGCAACAAAUGCCCUGCUUCCAGGAAAAGCCUCUAAGCAUCAGGUAACAUCAAAUCGUACCCCAAACCGACACAGGUGGUCAGGUAGAGAAUACCAAGGCGCUUGAGAGAACUCGGGUGAAGGAACUAGGCAAAAUGGUGCCGUAACUUCGGGAGAAGGCACGCUGAUAUGUAGGUGAAGUCCCUCGCGGAUGGAGCUGAAAUCAGUCGAAGAUACCAGCUGGCUGCAACUGUUUAUUAAAAACACAGCACUGUGCAAACACGAAAGUGGACGUAUACGGUGUGACGCCUGCCCGGUGCCGGAAGGUUAAUUGAUGGGGUUAGCGCAAGCGAAGCUCUUGAUCGAAGCCCCGGUAAACGGCGGCCGUAACUAUAACGGUCCUAAGGUAGCGAAAUUCCUUGUCGGGUAAGUUCCGACCUGCACGAAUGGCGUAAUGAUGGCCAGGCUGUCUCCACCCGAGACUCAGUGAAAUUGAACUCGCUGUGAAGAUGCAGUGUACCCGCGGCAAGACGGAAAGACCCCGUGAACCUUUACUAUAGCUUGACACUGAACAUUGAGCCUUGAUGUGUAGGAUAGGUGGGAGGCUUUGAAGUGUGGACGCCAGUCUGCAUGGAGCCGACCUUGAAAUACCACCCUUUAAUGUUUGAUGUUCUAACGUUGACCCGUAAUCCGGGUUGCGGACAGUGUCUGGUGGGUAGUUUGACUGGGGCGGUCUCCUCCUAAAGAGUAACGGAGGAGCACGAAGGUUGGCUAAUCCUGGUCGGACAUCAGGAGGUUAGUGCAAUGGCAUAAGCCAGCUUGACUGCGAGCGUGACGGCGCGAGCAGGUGCGAAAGCAGGUCAUAGUGAUCCGGUGGUUCUGAAUGGAAGGGCCAUCGCUCAACGGAUAAAAGGUACUCCGGGGAUAACAGGCUGAUACCGCCCAAGAGUUCAUAUCGACGGCGGUGUUUGGCACCUCGAUGUCGGCUCAUCACAUCCUGGGGCUGAAGUAGGUCCCAAGGGUAUGGCUGUUCGCCAUUUAAAGUGGUACGCGAGCUGGGUUUAGAACGUCGUGAGACAGUUCGGUCCCUAUCUGCCGUGGGCGCUGGAGAACUGAGGGGGGCUGCUCCUAGUACGAGAGGACCGGAGUGGACGCAUCACUGGUGUUCGGGUUGUCAUGCCAAUGGCACUGCCCGGUAGCUAAAUGCGGAAGAGAUAAGUGCUGAAAGCAUCUAAGCACGAAACUUGCCCCGAGAUGAGUUCUCCCUGACUCCUUGAGAGUCCUGAAGGAACGUUGAAGACGACGACGUUGAUAGGCCGGGUGUGUAAGCGCAGCGAUGCGUUGAGCUAACCGGUACUAAUGAACCGUGAGGCUUAACCUU
rnacentral:rRNA from 1 species